rnacentral:rRNA from 1 species
UACGGGGGGGGCAAGCGUUGUUCGGAAUUACUGGGCGUAAAGGGCUCGUAGGGGGCCAACUAAGUCAGACGUGAAAUCCCUCGGCUUAACCGGGGAACUGCGUCUGAUACUGGAUGGCUGGAGUAUGGGAGAGGAAUGCGGAAUUCCAGGUGUAGCGGUGAAAUGCGUAGAUAUCGGGAGGAAUACCUAUGGCGAAAGCAGGCUACUGGACCGUCACUGACUCUGAUCUGCGAAAGCUAGGGGAGCAAACAGG